AGAGUUUGAUCCUGGUCAGGAUGAACGCUGGCGGCGUGCUUAAUACAUGCAAGUCGAACGGAGAAUGUAGCAAUACAUUCUUAGUGGCGAACGGGUGAGUAACGCGUUGGUGACCUGCCUCGAAGAGAGGGAUAACAGUUCGAAAGGAUUGCUAAUACCUCAUACGGUUAUAGGGUUUAGAAGCCUAUAACUAAAGGAGUAAUUCACUUCGAGAGGGACCUGCGUACUAUCAGCUAGUUGGUGAGGUAAUGGCCCACCAAGGCGAUGACGGUUAGGGGACCUGAGAGGGUGGCCCCCCACAAUGGAACUGAAACACGGUCCAUACACCUACGGGUGGCAGCAGUAGGGAAUAUUAGUUAAUGUGCGAAAGCGCGAACUAGCAACGCCGCGUGUGCGAUGAAGGCCUUCGGGUCGUAAAGCACUUUUCUAAGGGAUGAGGAAGGACAGUACCUUAGGAAUAAGCAUCGGCUAACUACGUGCCAGCAGCCGCGGUAAAACGUAGGAUGCAAGCGUUAUCCGGAUUUACUGGGCGUAAAGCGCGUGUAGGCGGUUUGGUAAGUUGGAUGUGAAAGCUCCCGGCUCAACUGGGAGAGGUCGUUCAAUACUGCCAAGCUUGAGGAUGGUAGAGGGAGGUGGAAUUCCGAGUGUAGUGGUGAAAUGCGUAGAUAUUCGGAGGAACACCAGUGGCGAAAGCGGCCUCCUGGACCAUUUCUGACGCUCAGACGCGAAAGCUAGGGUAGCAAACGGGAUUAGAGACCCCGGUAGUCCUAGCUGUAAACGAUGUAGACUUGGGUGUCGGCGGGUUUUAAAUCCGUCGGUAUCGAAGCUAACGCGAUAA
rnacentral:rRNA from 1 species